CUUCAGCUAAUUAAGUUAACCAGGUCCUGAUAUGCAGUGCUCCUUGGAAGUGUUCCCUAAAUGGGUUGCCAUAGAGGACCUUGGGAGAC
rnacentral:snoRNA from 1 species